GCUCGCAUGGCCAAGUUGGUAAGGCGCGUCACUAGUAAUAUUACACGACCUAGUCCCCCGGCAAUGUUCUGGGUGAGGGCAAUGACGGACGUUGUUGUGAUGACGAGAUCAACGGUUCAAAUCCGUUUGUGAGCA